rnacentral:rRNA from 1 species
UGGGGAAUAUUGGACAAUGGGGGCAACCCUGAUCCAGCAAUGCCGCGUGUGUGAAGAAGGCCUGCGGGUUGUAAAGCACUUUCGGUAGGGAAGAGGGGUUUACGGGUGAAUAGCCUGUAGACUUGACGUUACCUACAGAAGAAGCACCGGCUAACUCCGUGCCAGCAGCCGCGGUAAUACGGAGGGUGCGAGCGUUAAUCGGAAUCACUGGGCGUAAAGAGCGCGUAGGCGGCUCUACCAGUCAGGUGUGAAAGCCCUGGGCUCAACCUAGGAACUGCAUUUGAUACUGUGGAGCUAGAGUCUGUCAGAGGGUGGCGGAAUUCCGGGUGUAGCGGUGAAAUGCGUAGAUAUCCGGAGGAACACCGGUGGCGAAGGCGGCCACCUGGGGCGAGACUGACGCUGAGGUGCGAAAGCGUGGGGAGCAAACAGGAUUAGAUACCUGGUAGUCCAUGCUGUAAACGAUGAGAACUGGGU